UACGUAGGGGCCUAGCGUUGUCCGGAUUUAUUGGGCGUAAAGAGCUCGUAGGCGGCUUGGUAAGUCAGGUGUGAAAUCUCCACGCUCAACGUGGAGGGGCCACCUGAUACUGGAUGGCUUGAGUUUGGGAGAGGGAUGCGGAAUUCCAGGUGUAGCGGUGAAAUGCGUAGAUAUCUGGAGGAACACCGGUGGCGAAGGCGGCAUCCUGGACCAACACUGACGCUGAGGAGCGAAAGCCAGGGGGAGCAAACGGG
rnacentral:rRNA from 1 species